GGGUUGUGAGGUUAAGCGACUAAGCGUACACGGUGGAUGCCCUGGCAGUCAGAGGCGAUGAAGGGCGUGCUAAUCUGCGAUAAGCGCCGGUAAGGUGAUAUGAACCGUUAUAACCGGCGAUACCCGAAUGGGGAAACCCAGUGUGACUCGUCACACUAUCAUUAACUGAAUCCAUAGGUUAAUGAGGCGAACCGGGGGAACUGAAACAUCUAAGUACCCCGAGGAAAAGAAAUCAACCGAGAUUCCCCCAGUAGCGGCGAGCGAACGGGGAGGAGCCCAGAGCCUGAAUCAGCAUGUGUGUUAGUGGAAGCGUCUGGAAAGGCGCGCGAUACAGGGUGACAGCCCCGUACACAAAAGCGCAUGUGCUGUGAGCUCGAUGAGUAGGGCGGGACACGUGGUAUCCUGUCUGAAUAUGGGGGGACCAUCCUCCAAGGCUAAAUACUCCUGACUGACCGAUAGUGAACCAGUACCGUGAGGGAAAGGCGAAAAGAACCCCGGCGAGGGGAGUGAAAAAGAACCUGAAACCGUGUACGUACAAGCAGUGGGAGCACCCUUUUGGGUGUGACUGCGUACCUUUUGUAUAAUGGGUCAGCGACUUAUAUUCUGUAGCAAGGUUAACCGUAUAGGGGAGCCGGAGGGAAACCGAGUCUUAACCGGGCGUUAAGUUGCAGGGUAUAGACCCGAAACCCGGUGAUCUAGCCAUGGGCAGGUUGAAGGUUGGGUAACACUAACUGGAGGACCGAACCGACUAAUGUUGAAAAAUUAGCGGAUGACCUGUGGCUGGGGGUGAAAGGCCAAUCAAACCGGGAGAUAGCUGGUUCUCCCCGAAAGCUAUUUAGGUAGCGCCUCGUGAAUUCAUCUCCGGGGGUAGAGCACUGUUUCGGCUAGGGGGCCAUCCCGGCUUACCAACCCGAUGCAAACUGCGAAUACCGGAGAAUGUUAUCACGGGAGACACACGGCGGGUGCUAACGUCCGUCGUGAAGAGGGAAACAACCCAGACCGCCAGCUAAGGUCCCAAAGUCAUGGUUAAGUGGGAAACGAUGUGGGAAGGCCCAGACAGCCAGGAUGUUGGCUUAGAAGCAGCCAUCAUUUAAAGAAAGCGUAAUAGCUCACUGGUCGAGUCGGCCUGCGCGGAAGAUGUAACGGGGCUAAACCAUGCACCGAAGCUGCGGCAGCGA
rnacentral:rRNA from 1 species